rnacentral:rRNA from 1 species
UACGUAGGCAGCGAGCGUUGUUCGGAGUUACUGGGCGUAAAGAGUGCGUAGGCGGUUUUCUAAGUUUGGUGUGAAAUCUCCCGGCUUAACUGGGAGGGUGCGCCGAAAACUGGAAGGCUUGAGUAUGGGAGAGGUAAGCGGAAUUCCUGGUGUAGCGGUGAAAUGCGUAGAUAUCAGGAGGAACACCUGCGGUGUAGACGGCUUACUGGACCAUAACUGACGCUGAGGCACGAAAGCGUGGGUACCAAACAGG